GGACAUUCGAUGACUCUGGGAACUUUCUCCGGGGUUACCUGCACUGUUUUUCCCAAGCAACAAUUCGCACAGCUUCAAAAGAGGAGACGUACCGAAUUUGACAAACAGCACACCGGUGGUAGAAACAGUCUUCCUGCCAUUCGUAGCGACGCACUGGAAGUAGCCGGUGUCGGUAGUGUCCAGGUUUCUGAUUCGGAGCCGGGAGCCGUAGCUGGUAGCACGGAAGGAGAUGCGCCGGGGCUCCUGGACCACGGGAGCGUCGUUCUUCAGCCAGCGCACGGUGGGCGGCGGAUUGCCGGAGACCUUGCAGUGCAGCUCUGCGGUCUGGCCAAGAGUGGUGGUGAUGUUGUUCAUGGGCUCGUCCAGCGUCAAGAAGUAAUCUCUAUCUAGCUCACUCGAGAUGUUCCAUGAUGACGUAGGCAUGAAAUCAACAACCACUGACGAAUUUGCUCCUGGCGUGGUGUCCGCCGGCUCGGCCCGGCUCCCCGCUCGCAGCAGCAGCAGCAGCGGGAGCAGCAGGAGCCUCCCGUCCCCGCCGCCCGGCCGGGGCGGCUGCCGCAUUCCUGAGCCGACGCCGCGUUACUCCGACAUCCACCGCGCAGCGCCGCGGGGCCGCCUCUCUUCUCCUCUCUCCUCCGUCCGUCCCGCGCCGCGCCCUCGGGGCUGCGCUCUGCCGGCGGGCGGGGAAGGCGGCGCGGGCGGCCGCCUCAGCCCUCACUUGUCACUUUCCUCCCGCUCCGCUCCGCGCGCAGCCCGG
rnacentral:lncRNA from 1 species